UCAUUCAUGGCAUAAUCAUAAUCUCAUAUAGGCAUUACGUCUGUGACAAGUAAACCAUUAAUUGAACUACAUCUACUACUAUUACUCCAUCGCAAGACAACUAUCCAACAUGCAUUUCAAAGCACUAAUUUUACAAGAAAUGGAGUAAAGCCAUAAGCAGAUGAGAUGAUGUAGAGAGAGAAAUAUAGCAAUAAGAUCAAACCCCUUCGUUUUAUCAUUAGUGGCUACAAUACAAAUAUGUGUCUUGUCCCCAUUCUGUCACAGAGAUAUAGAACACCACAAGAUUGAACCCGCUGCAACGCACCUCUCCCC
rnacentral:lncRNA from 1 species